rnacentral:rRNA from 1 species
UACGGAGGAUGCAAGCGUUAUCCGGAAUGAUUGGGCGUAAAGCGUCCGCAGGUGGCUGUGUAAGUCUGCUGUCAAAGAGCGAAGCUCAACUUCGUAAAGGCAGUGGAAACUACACGGCUAGAGUGCGUUCGGGGCAGAGGGAAUUCCUGGUGUAGCGGUGAAUGCGUAGAGAUCAGGAAGAACACCGGUGGCGAAGGCGCUCUGCUAGGCCGCAACUGACACUGAGGGACGAAAGCUAGGGGAGCGAAUGGG